ensembl:lncRNA
GUGGUGUGGAGUGCGUGGAGAGGACUGGUGGAGGAGGAGGUGGUGUGGAGUAUGUGGAGAUGACUGGUGGAGGAGGAGGUGGUGUGGAGUGUGUGGAGAGGACUGGUGGAGGAGGAGGUGGUGUGGAGUAUGUGGAGAGGACUGGUGGAGGAGGAGGUGGUGUGGAGCGUGUGGAGAGGACUGGUGGAGCAGGAGGAUGGAGCAGAGGGAGAUGAAGGAGCACACGGGGGUUUUCGGGUGUCUAAGUGCUGCGGUUUCUGUGGCGCAUCAAGUUUACGCACCUGAGGACGCGGAACACUGGAUUUGGAAUCCAGCUGAGGCGCAGAACUGCUUCAUGGCGUGUGCUCAGGAGUUCGUUUGAUUGCUCGUUAAGUGUCAAUUACAGAUAAAUAAAUAUGCAUUAAUUAAUAAAUAAGCAACUAUUAAAAAAAGAAGAAGAAAUAAAAAUGUCACAAAAGGCAUUAUGCUUAUAAAUCCUGUAGCUGGAUCUAUCUAUCUAUCUCUCUGUCUAUCUAUCUAUCUA